GACGAACGCUGGCGGCGUGCUUAACACAUGCAAGUCGAACGGUGAAGCGCCUUCCUUUUUGGUGGGUGUGGAUGAGUGGCGAACGGGUGAUUAACACGUGAGUAACCUGCCCCCUUCUUCUGGAUAACCGCAUGAAAGUGUGGCUAAUACGGGUUAUUCUGGGUCUGUCGCAUGAUGGGUCUGGGGAAGAUAUUGUUUCGGUGGGGGAUGGGCUCGCGGCCUCUCAGCUUGUUGGUGGGGUGAUGGCCUACACAGGCGGUGACGGGUAGCCGGCAUGGGAGCGUUGACGGUCACGCUGGGGAUGAGACACGGCCAAGACUCGUACGGGAGGCAGCCGUGGGGAAUACUGGAGGAAGCGCGCGAGCCUGAUGCAGAGACGGCGCGUGCGGGAUGGAGGCCUGCGGGUUGAGAAACUCUGUCGUCAGUGAAGCAGACCUGCCUCGUUUGUGAGUGGGUUGACGGUAGCUGGAGAAGAAGCGCCGGCUAACUACGUG
rnacentral:rRNA from 1 species